CCCCCGGCUAGCUAGAUAGGUGAUUGGUUGUUAAUUUAAAUUAUUCAUAGAGAGGUGCACACUGGUUAUUACUUAAUUUCUCUUUUUUACAUUAUACUUUAAUUGAGUGGUUAUUUCAUUAUGUGAAUGUUGUGUUUGAAACGCAUUGACAAUUAUUUACAUUAGUAUGAACAAGUGGAGUACCAAAAAGGAAACUGAAUUACACACCGUCACUAGGGUGAUACAUGCCGGGAGUAGGGAAGUUGCUUUACCCGUUUGUUUUUUAAGACUAUACUUUCAGGGAUCAUUUCUAUAGUUUGUUACUAGUGAAAUGCGUUUCUAAAGUGUCUGGUCUCGCUAACCAUGAUGAGGAGUCACAGUGUUCUCUUCUGAGCGCGAAGCGGGUCUUGAAUGCUGCUUUACUGUAGCUGUUCUUGACCAUUGAUGACCGUUCCGCUCUCUUUCGAGGGUGGAGGAAGAGAACACAUUCUGAGUGGUUAGCAACAUUUUAUAAGCAGUGAAAAAAGGAAAGUGCGUUGUUUCUGUAUGUGUAAUUAUACACAGAUGUACACUAGUGGGCACUGGAGACAUUCUACCUUCCCUGUAAAAGAGAAGGAAGCCUUACAGAAAAAUGCAGCUCUUCUUACUAUUCAGUGAACCAGAGAGCCAAAAAAAAACCAACCUGUCAGCUCCUUGAAUACCGAAAAGCGACGUGGCAGAGUUCCUGUUGAACUAGACAGCAGCGACUGAAACCUUCUGUACUGGUUCAGUGAUUGGCUGUUGGCCAACAUUAUGCAAAUACAUUCUCACACCGGGUCUUGACUAAAGCAUUCAUUUCAGAGCAAAAUGUUUAUGAUUAUUUAACAUUGUGAAUUAUUUUAACUACUUUUGUUGUAGGCACUAUAUAAAUUAGCAUGUUUAAGACAUGUGGUCUGCUGUAACAGACAAGUAUGCAUUAGACACCCUCACCUGUGUGUUUGGUGCCAGCAACAUGGCGAUUGCUUUACCCGUUUGUUUUUUAAGACUAUACUUUCAGGGAUCAUUUCUAUAGUUUGUUACUAGUGAAAUGCGUUUCUAAAGUGUCUGGUCUCGCUAACCAUGUUGAGGAGUCACAGUGUUCUCUUCUGAGCGCGAAGCGGGUCUUGAAUGCUGCUUUACUGUAGCUGUUCCUGACCAUUGAUGACCGUUCCGCUCUCUUUCGAGGGGGGAGGAAGAGAACAUGUUCUGAGUGGU